UUUAUGAUCCUUGAAAUGAAGCUAAGGGACAGCAUCUAGGCCCUGAGUUCAAGACCCAAUUAAUACACAAAAAAAUCUUGACAAGUGUAGUGUUAAAUUAGACAUUCCUAGUAGCCUAGCAAGAAAUCAUUCAUGUUGCGGUUUGGGGGACUGAAUGGCAUUUAUAUUUAUAGAAAUUAUUAGAAUAAAUAUUCCUAUUGGGGAAAUAAUCUGGGACUCGGGUCAAAGGGCAUGUGGUUCCACAGAGGCCAGAUGAAGGCUGCUGGGGCAAGGA